CGCGUGGGAAUCUGCCCGAUAGUGGGGGAAAACUUGGGGAAACCUGAGCUAAUACCGCAUACGCCCUAUGGGGGAAAGACUUCGGUCGCUAUCGGAUGAGCCCGCGUCAGAUUAGCUGGUUGGUGGGGUAACGGCCUACCAAGGCAACGAUCUGUAGCUGGUCUGAGAGGACGAACAGCCACACUGGGACUGAGACACGGCCCAGACUCCUACGGGAGGCAGCAGUGGGGAAUAUUGGACAAUGGGCGCAAGCCUGAUCCAGCAAUGCCGCGUGUGUGAAGAAGGCCUGCGGGUUGUAAA
rnacentral:rRNA from 1 species